GUGAUGAUCGUACAGUCUACAUGCCUCUCGUACCCGAGUUUAAACGAUACAUGUCGCACAGUGUGAUAAGGUAAUGAUCUUAUAAAAGGACAAAAAUCGUGCAGUGUAUUCCGGGCUUAAAGGUAACUGAAUGAGGUGUGUCACAAAAGGAAAACAUGCAAAAUGUGCAGUACUACCCUGCGUUCCAGUUCGUUUUUUAUGACCUUCCCUUGCAAACUUCCCUCAGUCUCGUUCACUCGGAUGUACGCCAUUGCUUACGUUGUACGAGUGCACUACUGCUGAAACACUUGAAGUAGGUUCAAAUGGAUCGCCCUAAGCCCUUGAUCACAUGGAAAGUGGAGGCCGCCCUCUCCAUGUGCAAAGCGCGAGUUGCUGAAGUGACGUCAAAAUCGUGAUGCAUUGUGGGAUAUGGAGCUGCCUGGAGUGUACAUAUGAAGUAGACUCGCUCCCUCUGUCAAAAUCGAGGAAGCGAGAGUCUGUCCAUACAAACUUCCCUCGUCCACUUGACAAAGUGGAACGCACUUCAAAAUGGCGACAGGGAUUCCCCCGAGGGGAAGUGUUUAGGGAAGUUCGCGAGUGCGUGUCUAAUGCUGCGUUCCAGGCAGGCUUUUAAACCCGUGAGUUACGACUUCAAAACCACGACUCACGACCCUAUGCGUUCCAGGCAGCCUGUAACUCGUGUUUUUACAACCUUCUACCGGUGAAAGUGCACUGGAACGGCAGUCAAACCCGUGACUUCCCACCCGUGAACUCGUACUAGAUCGAUGUACUCCCAGUUCAGAGUCGUGAGUCGUGGUUUUGAACUCGUAAGUUACGGGUUACCGGUUGCCUGGAACGCAGCAUAAAACUGGAGUGGAGCGCACCCCAAACGGUCCUCCUGGUGUAUCUAAUCAUUCAUCUUCUACAGGACCAACCAAGACAGAAGCAGUGCCUGCAGUCACCACGACCAUAAACAAUGAGAGAUGCUCAACUCUUAACUCACUAGUAACUCCUAUACAACACAGUCAAGCAUCAACUACAACAACACUGAUAUCAGUUUGUCAGAAAACAUCAAGUCCUACAGCACCAUCAGCUCCUAAACAACAAGUGCCUGUGAUUGUUAUUGUGCUUGCUGCAGUUUUUCUCUUUGUUGUUGUCCUUCUUGGGGUGAUUUGUAUAAAAAAAAGAUCAGGUGAGUUUACACAUCCC